rnacentral:sRNA from 1 species
GCUGGGCAUAGUGGCACAUGCCUGUAAUUUUAGCAACUUGGGAGGCUGAGGCAGGAUUUUAAGUUGGAGGUCAUUCUCAGCAACUUAGAUCCUAUCUAAA